rnacentral:rRNA from 1 species
GAUGAACGCUGACAGAAUGCUUAACGCAUGCAAGUCAACUUGAACUUCGGUUUGGGUGGCGGACGGGUGAGUAACGCGUAAAGAACUUGCCUCACAGCUAGGGACAACAUUUGGAAACGAAUGCUAAUACCUGAUAUUAUGAUUUUAGGGCAUCCUAGAAUUAUGAAAGCUAUAUGCGCUGUGAGAGAGCUUUGCGUCCCAUUAGCUAGUUGGAGAGGUAACGGCUCACCAAGGCGAUGAUGGGUAGCCGGCCUGAGAGGGUGAACGGCCACAAGGGGACUGAGACACGGCCCUUACUCCUACGGGAGGCAGCAGUGGGGAAUAUUGGACAAUGGACCAAGAGUCUGAUCCAGCAAUUCUGUGUGCACGAUGAAGUUUUUCGGAAUGUAAAGUGCUUUCAGUUGGGAAGAAAAAAAUGACGGUACCAACAGAAGAAGUGACGGCUAAAUACGU